rnacentral:rRNA from 1 species
UGGGGAAUUUUGGACAAUGGGGGAAACCCUGAUCCAGCCAUCCCGCGUGUGCGAUGAAGGCCUUCGGGUUGUAAAGCACUUUUGGCAGGAAAGAAACGUCAUGGGUUAAUACCCCGUGAAACUGACGGUACCUGCAGAAUAAGCACCGGCUAACUACGUGCCAGCAGCCGCGGUAAUACGUAGGGUGCAAGCGUUAAUCGGACUUACUGGGCGUAAAGCGUGCACAGGCGGUUCGGAAAGAAAGAUGUGAAAUCCCAGAGCUCAACUUUGGAACUGCAUUUUUAACUACCGGGCUAGAGUGUGUCAGAGGGAGAUGGAAUUCCGCGUGUAGCAGAGAAAUGCGUCAGUAUGCGGAGGAACACCGAUGGCGAAGGCAGCCUCCUGGGAUAACACUGACGCUCAUGCACGAAAGCGUGGGGAGCAAACAGG